rnacentral:rRNA from 1 species
UACGUAGGGGGCAAGCGUUAUCCGGAUUUACUGGGUGUAAAGGGUGCGUAGACGGUUCGGCAAGUCUGAAGUGAAAUGCAUGGGCUCAACUCAUGAACUGCUUUGGAAACUGUCGGACUAGAGUACAGGAGGGGUAAGCGGAAUUCCUGGUGUAGCGGUGAAAUGCUUAGAUAUCAGGAGGAACACCGGCGGCGAAGGCGGCUUACUGGACUGUAACUGACGUUGAGGCACGAAAGCGUGGGGAGCAAAC